rnacentral:lncRNA from 1 species
CCUGCCCCUCCCACGCCAGGAUUGGGUGGGUGGGUGUGGGGUACACUUUGUCUCCAGGCACAUUUUAAUGGAGGCGGCGGGGGGCAAGGUUCCACAGAAACAGGGGUACAGGACCAUUUCAGGGCCCAGCUCCCUGCUGACAGUGUCCUAGAAAAGCCCCCUCUGUUUUCAAGGAGACCUGGCAGGUGGAAGCAGGGACUGUGGCCCACAGACCCCAGACCACCUCCUGUACCCCUGCGCUCACCUCAGCCCCCAGGCCACAGAGCCUGCCAGUCCCCCCGCCGCCUCCCGGGACCUGAAGGAGAAACGGGCUCUGGACAGCCAGGGGAGCCCUGAAGCCCUCCGCUUGGCGACUUGCUGCCUGAGCCAUUCUGUAGCCUUGCUCACUGCCCGCACCCAGCCCCCAUGCACAACCUCCAAGACCACCCGACCUCCUGGCCUGCAGGGUUGCAGCUGCACGGGGUCGGAGGUCUUUGGUGCCCCUCUCCCGGGGUCACACGGGCCCAGGCCCACCGGGGGGCCCAGUGGAAAGGUCCCGCCUGACCUCGGCUGGUACUGGAGGCGCAGCGGAGACCGCGGAGGCGCGCGGAGGAGGUCCGGGAAGCCUGGCUCCCUCGGGGGGGACGCUCGAGGCGGGGUGCCACCACCCCGCGAUGCGCGCGGCUCCGUGCUCUGGGCACCGCUCUGGGGCCCGCAGGAGGGUGGCGGGGGAGGGGAGGGGUCGUGAUCCGGAGAGAAGCAGGUGAGGGCCCUGCGAGUGUGCACCCCGAAGCCCAGCAUCACCAGGUCCCAGCCUCGCUUCUCUACACAGCUCGUGUGGGCUUCUAGUAUUUCAGUUACUUACUCUCAUUUUGACGGAGUCCCCUCGUUAGAGUGUAAGCUCCAUCAGGUAGCGGCUAUUUCUGUUUGCUGUUGAAACUCGAACACCUGGAGGAGUGGCUGGCACCCCAUGGCUGUUUGUUUGUUCAGCCUCAGGGCCACAGGAAGACCGCCCACUGGGGUGAAGAUUUCGGCUUCCCUGGGACUCUGCCCGUGCUCACUUCAGAUCUGGGUUAUGUAUGUCACAGAUUCAUUUGCAGUGUGAUUUUUGCUGUUGUUGUUGUUUGUCUAGGCUUCAACAGUAUGUGAAUGGAGAACUUUCAGAUGUUCAAGCUGGAUUUAGAAAAAGCAGAGGAACCAGAGAUCAAAUUGCCAAUGUCCGUUGAAUCACAGUAAGAAAAUUCAAUAAAAACAUCUAUUUUUGCUUCA